rnacentral:rRNA from 1 species
CCUACGGGCGGCUGCAGUGGGGAAUAUUGCACAAUGGGCGCAAGCCUGAUGCAGCCAUGCCGCGUGUGUGAAGAAGGCCUUCGGGUUGUAAAGCACUUUCAGCGGGGAGGAAGGCGUUAAGGUUAAUAACCUUGUCGAUUGACGUUACCCGCAGAAGAAGCACCGGCUAACUCCGUGCCAGCAGCCGCGGUAAUACGGAGGCUGCAAGCGUUAAUCGGAAUUACUGGGCGUAAAGCGCACGCAGGCGGUCUGUCAAGUCGGAUGUGAAAUCCCCGGGCUCAACCUGGGAACUGCAUUCGAAACUGGCAGGCUAGAGGCUUGUAGAGGGGGGUAGAAUUCCAGGUGUAGCGGUGAAAUGCGUAGAGAUCUGGAGGAAUACCGGUGGCGAAGGCGGCCCCCUGGACAAAGACUGACGCUCAGGUGCGAAAGCGUGGGGAGCAAACAGGAUUAGAUACCCCAGUAGUC